GUGAAUCAUCAAAUUUUUGAACGCAACUUGCGCCUUUUUCGGAAGGAAUGUCCGUUUGAGGGCACUAUUUAAAAAAUAAUGUGCAGCGUUUUUUGUUGCACACGUUGAUGAGCUUUUUAAGAAUUUUAAAUUUUUGGUGGCGCAUAAUGAAUAGCGUGAAAGUUCUUUUCAGUUUGAGGGCAGUAAAAUCUUUGCUUGGGUUGUGAAUAAACAUAAUUGCGU
rnacentral:misc_RNA from 1 species